rnacentral:rRNA from 1 species
AUUGAACGCUGGCGGCAUGCUUUACACAUGCAAGUCGAACGGUAACAGGCCUUCGGGUGCUGACGAGUGGCGAACGGGUGAGUAAUGCAUCGGAACGUACCCAGAGGUGGGGGAUAACGCAGCGAAAGCCGUGCUAAUACCGCAUGUGAUCUGAGGAUGAAAGCGGGGGACCGAGCAGCAAUGUUUGGCCUCGCGCCUUUGGAGCGGCCGAUGUCGGAUUAGCUAGUUGGUGGGGUAAAGGCCUACCAAGGCGACGAUCCGUAGCUGGUCUGAGAGGACGACCAGCCACACUGGGACUGAGACACGGCCCAGACUCCUACGGGAGGCAGCAGUGGGGAAUUUUGGACAAUGGGCGCAAGCCUGAUCCAGCAAUGCCGCGUGCGGGAAGAAGGCCUUCGGGUUGUAAACCGCUUUUGGCAGGAACGAAACGGUGUCCGCUAAUACCGGGCGCUAAUGACGGUACCUGCAGAAUAAGCACCGGCUAACUACGUG